UUGAGUAGGUAUCCUAAAGUGUCCUAAAGUGGAGCAGCACAGAGAGCUCAGAAUGGCCCCUGAGCAAGAAUGACAUGCAAAUUUGUGAAGCAUUCCAUAUUUUG